rnacentral:rRNA from 1 species
UAGGGAAUAUUGGACAAUGGGGGCAACCCUGAUCCAGCCUUGCCGCGUGAGUGAAGAAGGCCCUCGGGUUGUAAAGCUCUUUUGUCCGGAAAGAAAAGCAUUCGGUGAAUACCCGGAUGUUCUGACGGUACCGGAAGAAUAAGCACCGGCUAACUUCGUGCCAGCAGCCGCGGUAAUACGAAGGGUGCAAGCGUUACUCGGAAUUACUGGGCGUAAAGCGUGCGUAGGUGGUUGGUUAAGUCUGAUGUGAAAGCCCUGGGCUCAACCGGGGAAUGGCAUUGGAAACUGGGCAGCUAGAGUGCGGUAGAGGGUAGUGGAAUUCCCGGUGUAGCAGUGAAAUGCGUAGAGAUCGGGAGGAACAUCUGUGGCGAAGGCGACUGCCUGGACCAGCACUGACACUGAGGCACGAAAGCGUGGGGAGCAAAC